rnacentral:rRNA from 1 species
UACGUAGGUGGCAAGCGUUGUCCGGAUUUACUGGGCGUAAAGAGCGCGCAGGCGGUCGUCCAAGUCGCGUGUGAAAGCCCCCGGCUCAACUGGGGAGGGUCACGCGAUACUGGUCGACUCGAAGGCAGGAGAGGGUAGUGGAAUUCCCGGUGUAGUGGUGAAAUGCGUAGAUAUCGGGAGGAACACCAGUGGCGAAGGCGACUACCUGGACUGUUCUUGACGCUGAGGCGCGAAAGCUAGGGGAGCAAACGGG